GCAAGUCGAGCGAGAAAGCACCUUCGGGUGUUAGUAAAGCGGCGCACGGGUGAGUAAUACAUGGGUAACCUGCCUUCGAGUGGGGGAUAACCUCGGGAAACCGGGGCUAAUACCGCAUAACAAGUCUCUGUCCUCGGGCGGAGACUUCAAAGCCGGCCAAUCCUUGGAAGCUGGCGCCUGUAGAGGGGCCCAUGUCCCAUUAGCUUGUUGGUGGGGUAAUGGCCUACCAAGGCUGCGAUGGGUAGCCGACCUGAGAGGGUGACC
rnacentral:rRNA from 1 species